AGAGUUUGAUCAUGGCUCAGGACGAACGCUGGCGGCGUGCUUAACACAUGCAAGUUGAACGGUAUGACAUGGAAGCUUGCUGAAGUGUCAUAUAGUAGCGGACGGGUGAGUAAUGCAUGAGAAGCUGCCAUUGGGAGGGGGACAACAGUUGGAAACGGCUGCUAAUACCCCGUAUGCCGGAGGGUGAAAGGGAGUAAUCCGCCCGAUGAGGUGCUCAUGUCCUAUCAGCUGGUUGGUGGGGUAACGGCCUACCAAGGCGACGACGGGUAGCCGGCCUGAGAGGGUGAACGGCCACACUGGAACUGAGACACGGUCCAGACUCCUACGGGAGGCAGCAGUGAGGAAUAUUGGUCAAUGGAGGCAACUCUGAACCAGCCAAGUCGCGUGAAGGAUGAAGGUCUUAUGGAUUGUAAACUUCUUUUGCAAGGGAAUAAAGUGGGGGACGUGUCCUCCUUUGCAUGUACCUUGCGAAUAAGGAUCGGCUAACUCCGUGCCAGCAGCCGCGGUAAUACGGAGGAUCCGAGCGUUAUCCGGAUUUAUUGGGUUUAAAGGGUGCGCAGGCGGGAUGUUAAGUCGGCGGUGAAAUUUUGCAGCUCAACUGUAAAAGUGCCUUCGAUACUGGCUUUCUUGAGUGUGGAUGAAGUAGGCGGAAUUUGUGGUGUAGCGGUGAAAUGCUUAGAUAUCACGAGGAACUCCGAUUGCGCAGGCAGCUUACUAAACCACUACUGACGCUCAUGCACGAAGGCGUGGGGAUCAAACAGGAUUAGAUACCCUGAUAGUCCACGCAGUAAACGAUGAUUACUAGUUGUUUGCGAUACAAUGUAAGCGACUGAGCGAAAGCGUUAAGUAAUCCACCUGGGGAGUACGUUCGCAAGAAUGAAACUCAAAGGAAUUGACGGGGGCCCGCACAAGCGGAGGAACAUGUGGUUUAAUUCGAUGAUACGCGAGGAACCUUACCCGGGCUUGAAAUGCGGCGGACCGGCAGAGAGAUCUGCCUUCCCUUCGGGGCCGCCGUGUAGGUGCUGCAUGGUUGUCGUCAGCUCGUGCCGUGAGGUGUCGGCUUAAGUGCCAUAACGAGCGCAACCCUCAUCAUUAGUUACUAACAGGUCAUGCUGAGGACUCUAGUGAGACUGCCAUCGUAAGAUGCGAGGAAGGUGGGGAUGACGUCAAAUCAGCACGGCCCUUACGUCCGGGGCGACACACGUGUUACAAUGGGUGGUACAAAGGGCAGCUACCUGGCGACAGGAUGCUAAUCUCCAAAACCACUCUCAGUUCGGAUCGGAGUCUGCAACUCGACUCCGUGAAGCUGGAUUCGCUAGUAAUCGCGCAUCAGCCACGGCGCGGUGAAUACGUUCCCGGGCCUUGUACACACCGCCCGUCAAGCCAUGGAAGCCGGGGGUACCUGAAGUCCGUAACCGUCAAGGAGCGGCCUAGGGUAAAACUGGUAACUGGGGCUAAGUCGUAACAAGGU
rnacentral:rRNA from 1 species